rnacentral:lncRNA from 1 species
AUUGCUGUUGCUGCCGCCGCUGCUGCUGCUACUGCCGCCGCCGCCGCUGUUGCCGCUGGUGCCGCUGCCGCCGCCGCUGCUCAUGAUCAUUAUUUUACCUUUUAAUUCUUUUUUUUUCCGCUCUUGCCAAAUGCUUUGGCUCCAAGUUUUCUAUGUGUAUCUAUUGAUAUAAAUGUAUAUAUUUAUUUAUUCUAGCUGUCAGGUGUUAAAAUAAAUGCCGAAGAUUAGUCCCACGUCUCUCCCACCAUAGGA